rnacentral:rRNA from 1 species
AUGAGCUUGGUGAGGAUCCCAUUUUUGGAAGAUAUGAUGGCAAGGGAUCACACAUUUGUUGAUGGGAGAUUGCUGUCUUUGCAAGACAGAGUAGCUGUCGCUCUUAGGGUACUGAACUCUGGUGACUCUCCGCUUACCAUAGGAUCCACUCUUGGUGUGAACGAGUCAACUGUCUCGCUGGUAACUAAGGUGUUUGUUGAGGCUAUGUGGGAGCGAGCAUUUCACCACAUCAGCUGGCCUGGAUCUGCUCAAAUGGAGAAGAUGAAGUGCAAGUUCGACAAGAUACACGGCUUGCCAAACUGUUGUGGCAUUGUACAAACAGCUCACAUCACAUUUGGAUCACAAAGCUGUGACCGUGAGGAGAAUUUGUUCGUUAGGAAUGACACCGACGUCGCUGAGGAUCACUACUGUAAACUUUUUCAAAAGACAGUUAAUCUGACGCACCUAGCAUUUAGCAAUGUACAUAAAAGAAUAACAUCCAGUAGCAUCAUAUGGAACACAGAACAUCUUAAAAGAAUAGCAGUUGAGCUAGGAGAUGAGAUCAUCGUCACUGCUUCAUCUGGCUAUGUCGACGCGCGUCUGCGUCGUGUCCUUGCUGAAAGUGGUGGACUGAAGCAGGGGGCAGGCCCCCGCCAUGGUUCGGCCACCCCCAUGGAUGUUUUGGGGGGGCUACUGAAUCCAUCGAUUGGAUCAAACAAUGUGCCUGUAGCUGCAUCUGGAGUUGGGCAACCAAGCCCAAUGACUACUCCUGAUGUUCCUACUCCAAACUCCAAAACCGUGUUCUCGGUAAAGUUUGAAGGCCGCUUGGUGGCCGCUUGUGGGUUGGUCUUCUCCGAGUGCCUCUGGCACUUCGGAAACCUGCAAAUUGCAGUAGUGCAACAAGUUGAAUGUCCUCCUGGCAUGAAUACACAAGAGCGUAUCCCGUCCAUCUCAAAGGUUGGUGAGAGGAGCAGCCCAGCGCCGGCGACCGGGCGGGGCCGCUGUCAUUUGGCGUGCACACGAGGAAAAAGCAUAUAUUGGCAUCAAGGAAAAGUUAAGUCCAAUCCAAUUCGAUACCCUCUUCAGCUCAGCUGCUUUGCUUUGUCAAAUAAUCUACUCCUCCAUGGAAAAGGAAAAGAAGCUGCUUUGCUUUGCUUUGCUUGCUCCAUCGAUGGGAAUGUGAUGCUCCGCUUUGCUUUGCUUGCCCCGGUCGCCGCUGCCAUCCGCUGA